rnacentral:rRNA from 1 species
AGCAGUAGCCACGGUAAUACAGAGGGUGCGAGCGUUAAUCGGAUUUACUGGGCGUAAAGCGUGCGUAGGCGGCUUCUUAAGUCGGAUGUGAAAUCCCUGAGCUUAACUUAGGAAUUGCAUUCGAUACUGGGAAGCUAGAGUAUGGGAGAGGAUGGUAGAAUUCCAGGUGUAGCGGUGAAAUGCGUAGAGAUCUGGAGGAAUACCGAUGGCGAAGGCAGCCAUCUGGCCUAAUACUGACGCUGAGGUACGAAAGCAUGGGGAGCAAACAGGAUUAGAGACCCCCGUAGUCCCUGUCUCUUAUAC